rnacentral:rRNA from 1 species
UACGAGGGGGGCAAGCGUUGUUCGGAAUUAUUGGGCGUAAAGGGCGCGUAGGCGGUUUGACAAGUCUGAUGUGAAAUCUCUGGGCUCAACCCAGAGUCUGCAUUAGAAACUGUCGGGCUUGAGUAUGGGAGAGGUGAGCGGAACUUAGGGUGGAGCGGUGAAAUGCGUUGAUAUCCUAAGGAACACCGGUGGCGAAAGCGGCUCACUGGAUCUCUUCUGACGCUGAGGCACGAAAGCUAGGGUAGCGAACGGG